AUUGCACUAAUUAGAUUGCUAGAGCCUAGCAGAUAGAGAAGGCUCUUAUUUGUGCUUCAAAAAUAUUUUUAUUGGUUUUAUCUCACGUAGUAGUCCUUUCAGGUAUCUUCCGUCUUGUGCAAUGUAAACCAAUAAAACAAAUAUUUAAGCAGAAUUAGCUUAGGUGGGACAAGAAAAGGAACAAAGAAAGGAUGAGUUGUUUCAAAAUAGGGAUUAGGACUUACAGAGAAGGCCCUGAUCUGAAUUUUUGAAAGUUAAGUAACAUUGCACUUCUGUGCUUGGAUGUCAGCAUCUGUGUCCAGCAUGUGGCCAGGAUAAGGACAGUUCUGUGUGGCUGAAAGGAAGCCUAAGUAAAGAACAGCAUUUUAUGGCCAGCUAUGUGUUUGCACAUGCCAGCAGCCGCACUGAACGGGUCCUCUGUCAAUGUCUCCGUGCAGGGCGAGGUGAGGCCCGGCUGAGCAGCUACUCCUGACAGCUCCACAGGCCAGUGGAAGCGGGAAGUGAAACUGCUCAGGGCUGCCCAGUGCUGGAGGGAGGAGGCUGCUGGGUCUCACUUUCGAUUCCUGAGGUUUGCACCCAGUGUCACUGGAUGUGUGCACACGGAAGGGAGCUGGCACCUUAACAAGGCAACAAUGUUUUCUCAGGGAAUACUGAGGAAGAAUAUCUCAAAAUGGAAAAAGCAGUUCUUGAAUCUAGCACACCAAAGAAGCACAGGGUGUGGAGGAGCAAAGUUUCCCAUGCAGGAAAAGGAGAUCCAUGAAAGAAAAAGGAGUGCUGUGGGUGGAUGCUUUGCUAAAGUACGUCAUUGCAUUCCUGUUUAUGAGAGCAGAGCAGCGCUGAACCAGGUUCUUGCUGCAGCUGCUAUCACCAGCACGUGGACAGCUGGAAAUGAUCUGUGUCAGGAGGUGGAGAAAGAAAGGAUGAAGGAAACAAAACAGAAAUGGGGUGUCCUCUUGCUUUUGGGUGACAGUUUGGUUGGACACUGAGAAAUACACAAAACAAAUAAAGAACAUAUCCCUACUGACUAACCUGCA
rnacentral:lncRNA from 1 species